AUGAGUAAUCAGCGCUGCCCCGACAAAUGCGGCGACGUGCCCAUCCCAUACCCCUUUGGCAUCGGCACACACUGCGCCGCGACCAGCCUGAGCAGCUACUUCAACCUCACCUGCAACGGCACGAUCGAUCCACCGCGGCCAAUGGUAGGCAAUGACGAGGCGGUGGUUGAGAUCACCGACAUCUCGCUGGAGCACGGCGAGAUGCGUGUGCUCAGCCCCGUCAACCACAUGUGCUUCACUUCGGACACCAUGUUCACCAAGUUCCUCGGGGGGUACGAGCUUCAACUCACGCCCUUCCUCCCCUCCCCGUCGCGCAACCGCUUCACGGUAAUUGGCUGCAACACGCUGGGGCUCAUCAGUGGGUACAAAGGCACCGCGAGCCAGUACGUGGUUGGCUGCUACUCCUACUGCGAGGGCGUCAACAACACGACUGAAGGCGCGCCGUGUGCUGGGAUGGGCUGCUGCGAGGCUGCCAUCCCCGCCAACCUCACAUCCUUCGGGGUCAAGUUUGAGAUGAACCAGAGCAAGGUAUGGGGCUUCAACCCGUGCUUCUACGCCAUGGUGGCGGAGGUUGGGUGGUACAACUUCAGGCAGCAGGACCUCGUCGGCAGACUUGGGUUCGUUGAUGGUCGAGCCCAGAGAGGUGCCCCCGUUGUCGCUGACUGGGCCAUUAGGAACGCCUCGUGCCCGGAGGAGGGGAAGGACAAGCCUAAUGACUAUGCCUGCCUCAGUGUCAACAGCCAUUGCGUGGCCGCGAACAAUGGUCCAGGGUACUUAUGCCAGUGUUCCAAAGGAUAUGAAGGCAAUCCUUAUCUUUUGAACGGUUGUCAAGACACAGAUGAGUGCGCAUUGCGUAAGCAGCACACCAAGUAUGAAGAUUUGUAUCCGUGCAGAAAAGGGGUCUGCCACAACACACCAGGGAGCUACUUAUGCAAAUGCAAGAAAGGAACAAAAUCUGAUGGUACAAAUUUUGGAUGCCAAUCUAAGCAUUCUCCAGCAGACAAAAUGGUUAUUGGCCUCAGUGUUUCUGCAACGAUGGUGAUGGCCUUAGCAUGCUCGUUGAUCAUGCAAUUACAAAGGAAAAGGCACAAGAAGGAGAAAGAUGAGUAUUUCAAACAAAAUGGAGGUCUCAAGUUAUAUGAUGAGAUGAGGUCAAGGCAGGUUGACACAAUUCGUAUACUUGCUGAAAAAGAGAUAAAGAAAGCAACUGAUAACUACAAUGAAGAUCGAAUUGUUGGAUGUGGUGGGCAUGGGAUGGUCUACAGAGGAACUUUGGAUGAUCAAAAAGAGGUUGCCAUAAAAAAGUCCAAAGUAAUCAGCGAUGAUUGGAGGGAAGAAUUUGUCAAUGAGAUAAUAGUCUUGUCACAAAUCAAUCACCGAAACAUUGUGAGGUUGCUAGGAUGUUGUCUGGAUGUAGAUGUCCCAAUGUUGGUCUACGAGUUUGUCCCCGGUGGUACUUUAUCUGAGUUUCUUCAUGGCGCUGGUUGUAGAUCGCCAAUACCUUUGGAUCUUCGCCUUAAGAUUGCUACACAGUCAGCAGAAGCUCUAGCUUACUUGCAUUCUUCGACAUCUCGCACAAUUCUACAUGGGGAUGUCAAGUGUGCCAACAUUCUCUUGGAUGAUUAGCUCAACGCAAAAGUUGGUGAUUUCGGAGCAUCAGCACUUAAGUCCAUGGAUGAAAGUGAAUUCAUCAUGUUUGUUCAUGGAACACUCGGCUGCCUUGAUCCAGAGAGCUUUAUCAGUCGUCAUCUCACCGACAAAAGUGAUGUAUACAGCUUCGGGGUGGUUCUUCUCGAGCUGAUGACCAGAAAGAGGGCUAUAUAUACUGACAACUUCAACGAAAAGGAAUCAUUGUCAUAUAGUUUUCCCUUGAUGUUUCAAAAGAGGAGACACCUUGUUAUGCUGGACACUGAAAUUAUAGACGAUGUAGUUACGGUGGUGCUUGAGAACAUGGCUGAACUUGCAGUGCAGUGCCUUAGCCCAAAGGGAGAUCACAGGCCAACGAUGAAGGAAGUCGCUGAGAGCCUACAGAUGAUGAGGAGACUCCGACUGCACUCAGCUAGUGAUCCUGAAAAUAAUCACUAUACACAUAGCUAUGGAGGAUCAUCUUCGGUUGUGGUCCCUUUGGAAGAGACAACACGUGGGACCAUCGAUAUGUCCGAACUGGUUGAAGAUCUUUCAAGAUGA
rnacentral:rRNA from 1 species